rnacentral:rRNA from 1 species
AGAGUUUGAUCCUGGCUCAGAGCGAACGCUGGCGGCAUGCUUAACACAUGCAAGUCGCACGGGCAGGCAACUGUCAGUGGCGGACGGGUGAGGAACGCGUAGGGAUCUAUCCUUGGGUGGGGGACAACCGUGGGAAACUACGGCUAAUACCGCAUGAUGUCUGAGGACCAAAGGCGCGAGUCGCCUGAGGAGGAGCCUGC